AGAGUUUGAUCCUGGCUCAGAUUGAACGCUGGCGGCAUGCCUUACACAUGCAAGUCGAACGCGAAAGCGGGGCAACCCGCAAGUAGAGUGGCGAACGGGUGAGUAAUACAUCGGAACGUACCCAGUAGCGGGGGAUAACCUCUCGAAAGAGAGGCUAAUACCGCAUACGACCUAUGGGUGAAAGAGGGGGAUCGCAAGACCUCUCACUAUUGGAGCGGCCGAUGUCGGAUUAGCUAGUUGGUGGGGUAACGGCCCACCAAGGCUACGAUCCGUAGCUGGUCUGAGAGGACGACCAGCCACACUGGAACUGAGACACGGUCCAGACUCCUACGGGAGGCAGCAGUGGGGAAUUUUGGACAAUGGGCGCAAGCCUGAUCCAGCCAUGCCGCGUGAGUGAAGAAGGCCUUCGGGUUGUAAAGCUCUUUCGGCUGGGACGAAAAGGUCCGUGCUAACACCACGGAUCCAUGACGGUACCAGCAGAAGAAGCACCGGCUAACUACGUGCCAGCAGCCGCGGUAAUACGUAGGGUGCAGGCGUUAAUCGGAAUUACUGGGCGUAAAGCGUGCGCAGGCGGUCUUUUAAGUCAGAUGUGAAAUCCCCGGGCUUAACCUGGGAACUGCGUUUGAAACUGGAAGGCUUGAGUGUGGCAGAGGGGGGUGGAAUUCCACGUGUAGCAGUGAAAUGCGUAGAGAUGUGGAGGAACACCGAUGGCGAANGCAGCCCCCUGGGCUAACACUGACGCUCAUGCACGAAAGCGUGGGGAGCAAACAGGAUUAGAUACCCUGGUAGUCCACGCCCUAAACUAUGUCAACUGGUUGUCGGGGAAGCAAUUCCUUGGUAACGAAGCUAACGCGUGAGUUGACCGCCU
rnacentral:rRNA from 1 species